rnacentral:tRNA from 1 species
AAAUCCAUGGCGCAAUGGUGUGCGUCUGAUUUCAGAUUAAAAGGUUGCCUGUUCGAUGCGCGUAGGGUUUA